rnacentral:rRNA from 1 species
GGCAAUGGAGGAAACUCUGACCGAGCAACGCCGCGUGAACGAUGAAGUAUUUCGGUACGUAAAGUUCUUUUAUUAGGGAAGAACAAAUGAUGGAAAAGUCACUCUGACGGUACCUAAUGAAUAAGCCCCGGCUAACUAUGUGCCAGCAGCCGCGGUAAUACAUAGGGGGCAAGCGUUAUCCGGAAUUAUUGGGCGUAAAGGGUGCGUAGGCGGUUAAAUAAGUUUAUGGUCUAAGUGCAGUGCUCAACAUUGUGAUGCUAUAAAAACUGUUUAGCUAGAGUAAGAUAGAGGCAAGUGGAAUUCCAUGUGUAGUGGUAAAAUGCGUAAAUAUAUGGAGGAACACCAGUAGCGAAGGCGGCUUGCUGGGUCUUUACUGACGCUGAGGCACGAAAGCGUGGGGAGCAAACAGGAUUAGAUACCCUGGUAGUCCACGCCGUAAACGAUGAGUACUAAACGUUGGGUAAAACCAGUGUUGAAGUUAACACAUUAAGUACUCCGCCUGAGUAGUACGUACGCAAGUAUGAAACUUAAAGGAAUUGACGGGACUCCGCACAAGCGGUGGAUCAUGUUGUUUAAUUCGAAGGUACCCGAAAAACCUCACCAGGUCUUGACAUGCUUCUGCAAAAUUGUAGAAACACAGUGGAGGUUAUCAGUUGCACAGGUGGUGCAUGGUUGUCGUCAGCUCGUGUCGUGAGAUGUUGGGUUAAGUCCCGCAACGAGUGCAACCUUUAUUGUUAGUUACCAGCACGUAAAGGUGGGGACUUUAGCAAGACUGCCAGUGAUAAAUUGGAGGAAGGUGGGGACGACGUCAAAUCAUCAUGCCCCUUAUGACCUGGGCUACAAACGUGAUACAAUGGCUGUUACAAAGGGUAGCUGAAGCGUAAGUUUUUUG